CCUCCCUCCCAUUUACAGUCUCCGAACCUUCUUCUCUCUGCCUCAUCCCUACGUCCCAUCGCCACCUCCGAGAGGAGCGACGGUGGUCAUGCCAGGAGCGGCAGCGGGCUUGCGAGAGGAAGUCCCUCCUUGUCGAGAUCACCAAGCUGAAGCUUCGAGUUCAGGCCCUACGGCACGGAAUUCAGAUUCCGAAAGGCGAUCUGGGGGAGGUGGCGAACGUGGCUACACUGUUGCAGGUUUCGCGGGAGAGGAAUUUAAUCCCGGAGAGGGGGUUGAGUGCGAGUCUGAUGCUAUUGGAGGAGAGAGAGAAGAAAACUGCAGUGGAGGAGAAGAGCAAACGGUUAAUUUUUAUUUUUUUUCGAGCAAAAAAUGCAUGAAAUUUCGGUUCGAUUCGAUUCUACGUCUCUACCAUGAACAGACAGCACUGGCGCCCCCAUCAUUGAUAAAUGAUUUUGAAAACAUUUGCAAGAAAUAACUAGAAUUUAGCUUUCCAUAUAGGAACAAUGGGGAUUUCCAUCGGACCACUCAAGAACACAAGCUAGUAUUGCUGGAAGCCCAUAUGGAAAGAACAGUAUGGGAAUGAGUCUCUACAAGGGAACUGGCACGUCAAUUUGUACAACAGCAGAAUUCUUUAGGGUCAAAGUUACGUGCACGAUCUCAACCAUUGAAUGAAAGAAAAUUGAUGUCAACGAUUGAACUUGGCAUGACCAUUUUGUCCUACCAAACCCCACUAUCCCAUAACUCACGCCAAAAAUAAUAAGUUAUGCCAUAUCAAUAUUUCACUAAUCAGUGUGUAAGUUAUAGUUUUGAUUAUUUAGCUUUACACAUUUGACAAAAUUGCUUUAGGGAUAGAUAUCUCUUAGUCAUCAAGCGUAAAUUUUUACCAAGAAAAAGUGAAGAAAUCAUGGAACUUGCGGUUCCAGGAUUGAAUCGAAUUUACAUAUUGAUCUAGUUCGAGCAUUUCAUCAAACAAGUAAUAUGCAUUUUGAUCAAGGAGCUCAUCCGCAACCAGAUCGAAAAUCGUCCAAAUUGGACUGGACUGGCUGGUUUAGUCCAAUUCCUGAUUGUAUAAAAAUGAAACCGAUGAUUUUCAAUUUGGUUCCCAUUUUUUGGGACCGAGAACCAAAUUGGACAAUCCUAACCAAACAAGUUCCAGUCCGAUCCACUAAAACUGGCCACUUAGCAAAACUUUUUUGUUUAAAAAUAUUAGAGUUGGUAUGCCUAUAUAAUUUUUGUCCUUUUCUUCACUUCCUUCACUUUUGUCUUUAUUUCCUUGCCAAGCAUGAGCUCGAAGUCUCUCAUGAUAAUGCAAUCUUUCUUAUCUUAAAACAAAAAAUAUAUCACUCCAUAUAUAAUCCAUGCCAACCGACUAUGCCUUAACACACCUUCCUUUUAUUUUUCUAUCUUUAUUUUUCUAUAUAUUGCAUGAAUAUACGAAACAUCAAUCAUCAUAUCAUUUUUUAUUCCUUUUCAUUGGCCAAAUUUUCCUCAUUUGCUCUUGAACAAAUAUUGUAAGAAUAAUAUAAAUCUUUUUCUACAAUAUACUCAUCUUCUAACUUGUCAUUCCUCAUAAGUUAAUUUUUGGCAAUCAAAGAAUAAAGGGUUUGGGCCAAUUUCCUCUCUUCAUGGGCUUUGUCCAACUUGCCAAAUUAAAUCUUACAACUAUCAUUUCAAAUAUGUCUGUCAUCGGUCUAAUGUGAAUGCAAUAAUAAAAAUGUAAACUAAAUAAUAAAUGCUCCUAAAAUUACAUGCUAUGCAACUUAAUUAUAUUAUUUUUGUUUAAGGUUAAAAUUAAUCUCUAAUUUUCUAUGUAAUAAAUAAAUGGUUGAGUUGCCAAAAUUUAGGUGUUAGCGGGAUUAAAUUGGCACAAAUGAAACGUGUUUAGGACUUUUCUGACACUUUUUCCUAAUAAUACAAUGUAACAAAAUCGAAAAUUAUAGCAAAUAAGAAGAAUCUUUAUGAAAUCCCAAGUCAAGCUCCCAAGUCACGCUGAUUAUGAGAUAUUUUUAUCUAGUUAGUGUAAUUUUGCAUGCAUGUCUUUGAAAUUGAUACCAUGAAAAACCCCAAAUUGAUUCAUCUAUAAUAAAUUUAUCUUGAAUUAAUUUUUUGACUACAAAAAAUACUACAGUGAUGUAACUAUGACAAAUUUACCCUUAAUUAUUUUUCAUUAAAUUUUCCUAAAAUAACCAAAGUGUCCCUUUUAGAUAAAGUUACCCCUAAAAUCUAUGCCUAAUAUCUCUCCCCUCUCUCUGCCUGCCCCUCUUCCUCUGCCAGCAGAUCGCCCACCCCACUCCCACUUUCUCCUCUCCAUUGCCGCUCUUAAGCUCGGAUUUUGCCAUUCGAGUAAGCUAGAGAGAGAGAGAGAGAGAGAGAGAGAGAGAGAGAGAGAGAGAGAGAGAGAGAGAGAGGUGAUAAGGUAUUGACGGUCGUGAUAGGCGAUUGGGCUUGCUCGGAUGGAGGCUAGUGGCGGCCAUAGGGAUGAGGACGGCAGAGGAGGUCCAUAUCCAGUGGAAGAGAACUAUAAUGAGAAAGACGAAAAAUGGGGAGAAAAGCUUUUGAUUUGACUUCAAUAAUUAUUUCUAAAAUUUUGAUUCCAUCGUUAUUCACCACGCCUCACAUGAAUGAUUAUUCAGAAGCUAAAGAAUUGAAAUCUAGAAACAAGAAGGUAAAACAAUAAAUGUGAAUCCGCCAAACACUUCGACCGUUUAUGAAUCUAUGACCACGAGCAUAAGUUCGUCUUCGGCAACAGGAUCGAAGCUAACGCAUUGUCCCACUGGGACGUCGAGGCAAUGAGACGUGGAGAAGUGAAGGGGCCGCGGAGCCAACCCUUGGCUAUCACCUGAUACACCGCCUCGGUCGAGUGAAUUCCGUCCCAAUUCACGAGAGCCGAUGGAUCUGUACACAGAGUCGAGCCAUUGGAACCACACAUGGCCGAGAGGUCAAAAUGAUACGGUCCGCCACCUCCACACCAAGCUGCUUGUGUACCUCCAUUGAAUCCUGCAAACAAGAGGAGGAUUGAUCUCCAUAGUCACCCUUAUAACUUCACAAAAGUACCGCAAACUUUCGAAUAACUUCGAUGUGACUCAGUGAAUUAUCUUAUAUGCCUAAUUCACUGUCGAUUAUGAGACUAGAAUGAAAGAAAACACACCAUAAUGAUUUGGUGUGCAGAAGAAACGAAUGGCAGCUCCAUAGUAAUCGGCAUACAUAAUCCUUGCGUGGCGAUAUUUCUGUCUCAAAAUCUGCAGCUUUCGCUUGACAUAACUGUUGUGGUACUUGGAGAACUCAUUAUAAGCUUUGAGACAGCCAGUUCUUGGAUCAGAGUCCGAUUCAUUAGAGCUGUGAAACAAAGCCAAGUACACCGUCCAGCAACCGAUCGGGAAAUUCCCCGGCACCACUAAAUCCACUGCCCCUUCUUCGAUGACCAUCUAAAGCAAUCACAAGCUAUGAAAGUAAUUCAUUUGAGGUGACCACAUGGAAGAUUUUAUUGGAACGAAUGUUGAAUAAAUCGUAAGUAGUUGCGUUGGUUGAGAGUCUCACCUUCAUCGCCGAGGUCGAGAGUUUGAAACCCACAGUUGCUAGCGAUUUAAGUUGGGGCUCUGGCAGUGGGAUGCUGGGCUAAUCUUCCCCGAGUAUAGGCAUUGUAGGUCUCUCCAUCGCAGAGGACCGUGAGACCUCGAAUAGUGUAAGUGGAAGAGGGCCCCGGCAGAUUCUCGGUCACCAAAAAAAGAAAAAAAAAAGAAAAAAGAAAAGGCAUGCACUGGUGGCAUUAGUGAUGGCUCUAACAACAAGGGGCACCAUGAAAGGGAGCUACUCAACACUUGCACCUAAGGUGAAAAGAAAGUUGUAGUCGUUUCCACCAAUUUCCCCCACAAGAAACAAAGACUUCUUGAAAUAUGGAUCACAAUAUGCUCAAAAGAAAUAAUUAAAACAAAAAUUAAAUGGAUAAAAGAUGGGUUGGUAACCAUAUAAAAGAUCAUUGUGAUAAGAUAUAUUUAAAUAUUAAUCACCCUGUAAAAAUAUUUUUUUCUUUGUUUUUUUUUUUAAUGAUCCAAGAGCACGGACAAAAAGCCACAUCUAUAAGAAGGUUUGUAAAACAUCCUACAAGGGCCAUGAACUGAUUGAGUUCAUGCCUUUGGCCUGAACAAGUAGUCCUUAUCAUAGCAAGUUCAAUGUAGUUAAUAUCUAAAUAGACGAUCUUUGGUUGCUUAGCUCAUGCCAACUGUAAAGUCACCCUAUGAAAGAUUUAGGAGCUACAUAUGCAUGAUAUCAACCAAAUCACCUAGAUGAAUAAUCAUACCUUGUUUAGAUAAGAUCGAUGGUACAAAAUGGAAGUACACACAAACUAUCACUAUAAAAUAUCAGUCCUCAAUCGGAGCAUACAAAAAUGAGUUUAUGUUUUAACUAGUUGGGUAGUACAAAGAGAUGAUUUGAGUCCCUUGAACCAGCUGAGCUGGACGUUUAAGGUAUGAUUCGUCCAUAACAACGAUCCAAGGUCUUGUGCAUAAAAAAAUGUCAGAUCAAGUGCCGUGGCGCCGGCAACUGCAAAAUUCACUCCACUACGAACAUGAUGCAAGCCCUUGCCCAGCUCAAGAUAUGGCUUCAGAUCGGGUAACCAAAAUGCUUCCGCUGCAUUUUCAUAUGCGUAUUGCAUGCACACCAUUUAAACAUCUCAACUGAUAGUUAAAGAUUUCAACUGCACGCAGAGCAUGAUACGAACACCGCAGGUAUAAAUAGUUUUUCCUUGAGCAUUGUUUUCUACUGCCAGAGAUCCCAAUAUUUAUACCAAAAUUAGUGGCUGUUGGGAAUGACUGAUCCCCGAAAACUGGAUUCGACACUAAAUCGAACCCCUAAAUUCAAGCGGAAGCGAAGCCCGGGAAAAACAACACGUAUCACCGAUCCUAAAGCAAACCACGGAUUCGAGCGUACCUUUUAGCCACAGAUUAAACGCUGACGCCGAUAGAGGAAGAGAAACUUGGUCAUGUUCGAUCCGGUGAAGCAAAGUCGCCUUGUAGCCUCACUGUUUGCUUUUUGGAGAAAACGACAGAGAGGAGGAGAGGAUGAGAGAAACGUACGUCUUUUCCUUUUGAACAAAACGGUACCUUUUUCCUUUUUUUCCUCCCUUUUAUACCUCUUUCCUUCCACGGGCCUUAUUCCCGUGGGACGGGCUUUCUCAGCCCAACUUGGGCGGAUGGGCCAUAAGCCCAAAUCAAAUAAAGCCUUCAUCUCCCACUCGCACAUGGUGGGCCGAACAUAAUUCUCUUUACCUCUCUUCAACAUUCAUACCGGUGAAUAAUCCGUGCGACCAGCAUACUUUGAGAGCUCGUUGCCAUACAUCUGUUAGGAAUAUAUAGCAGCUCAUAAUGGGCAUCACACUCCGAGUAGAUUUAGUAUGCAGUACCCUAGAUCGAUCGAUCACAUUUAUAUCUCUCUUGAUCUCUUUCAAACAAUGAUAUAUAUAUAUAUAUAUAUAUAUAUAUAUAUAUAUAUAGUGUAUUCACAAUUAUGAUUAUCCCAAAGACAGUCAUAAUUGGUUAACCAGUGAAUACAAAACUAUAAUGUGAUUCUCCAAAAUCGGUCUUCCUCUUUCCUUCAAACUCUCAAUUUCAGUUCAGCUUGCUUUUCUAGAAAUGCCCCAUUAGAUCGAAUCAAAAGCAUGACCAUUGGCAACAUCCUAAGAUAGCAAACACUAAAUAGAAAUCUUGAGAAUAAGUAAGAGUCAUGAGGGGACAAAAAAAAAUUGAGGAACUCUUUUCCUCAAGAGUCUCACACGACAUUAAAAAGUUGAGAUCAAACUUUUGCUACUCUUAUUGGUCGUCUCAUGCAUACGUAGUAUGAAAUACGUAUUACGGUAUUAACUCAUUUCCCAUGGAGCGUAUGUCUACACUUUCAAUACCGUACAGAUGAUAGUUCAGACAUACCCAAUGUCUAACUUGAGUUCACGUAUCUACUCAUUCACAAAAUUCAUCAGAACUCACAUAUGGCAUCUUAGACAGAUAAAGUAAAACAUGUGGGGUAUUUUACUUUCGGACAUAAUAAGUAUUAUGUCCUCAUCUUAACACCUAGUUAAGGCAACAUACGUGUUUUAAGCUUGAGCUCUCGAUUAUCACCUAGAUAAUAAGCUUAAAAACAGUCUCAUCUCUAUUUAUCACAUAGUAAAUAGAGGCGAUUACCCGUGUGAGUGGGCUAAUCUUAUAUCUGUCCGACAUACUUCCUAACUUAAAGUAAUGCACUGAGCAUUAAGAUGCAUAAAGAUCAAACAAAUAUUCAUAGGCAUUAAUGAUGAAAACACAAAUUCAUCAAAUGUGAACUCUUAGGGAAAUUACAAUAUUCAGUACAUCAUCCUCUACGCAAUCCUAGAGAUUUCACAUGGCCACAAAACACAUCUUUAGGUAUUGGCUUUGUUAUAGGAUCUGCUACCAUUCUAUGCGUAGUAUGUGCUCUAAGUUCACAUCCUUUCGUGCAACCAUAUCCUUGACAAAGUUAUACUUGGUAUCUAUAUGUUUGGUCUUGCCAUGAUAUUUUGGAUCUUUGGUGUACACUUUUGCUGCUUGGCUAUCACAGUUAACCAACAAUGAAUCUGCAGCACUUCCAAUAACAUCUAAAUGAUCCAAAAAAUCUCUUAAGCCAAACACCUUCUUAUACUGAUGCUGAUAAUGCCACGAACUCUACUUACAUCGUAGAUAAGGUUAUACACUUUUGUUUUUUACUGCUCCAACAUAUGGUGCCAUUAUUCGGUAAGAAAACAAACCCAAAGAUAGAUUUUCUUUCAUCUAAAUCUCCUUCUCAAUCAGCAUCGUAAUAGCUUUAGAGUCGCAAAUCCUUUCCUCAAUGACUCAGCAUAUAAUCAGCAGUUCCCUUUAGAUACCUCAGUAUUCUCUUAACGGCUUAUCAAUGUGCUUGACCUGGAUUGGAUUGGUAACUACUCACCAUUCCAACUACAAAACAUAUGUCAGGUCUUGUACACAUCAUAGCAUACAUAAAGCUUCCAACAGCACUGGCAUAAGGAACAUGUUUCAUUUGUUCAUUCUCUUGUGGAGUCCUUGGACACAAUUUAUGGUUCAAUUCUUCACCUUUUGCAAUAGGAGUGUCUAUGGGUUUACAAUCCCAUAUCCUUCAAUUCAAAAUUGGAAGAGAACCAACUUUUGACAGUAUUGACAAACUCCAUAUUACUUAUGGCAAUUAGUAUAUCAUCAACAUAUAAUGAUAUGAUCACAAAUUGAUCUUUGGAUCUUUUGAUAUAUACACAAUGAUCCUUAUCAAUCAUUGUAAAGUGAUAUGCCAUUUUGGCAUUAUGAAAACGUAUAUACCAUUAUCUUGACGACUGCUUAAGGUCAUAUAUCGACCCCCAAAGUCGACAUACCUUUUCUUCUUGGCCUUUCACUAUGAAACCAACAGGUUGUUCCAUAUAUACUUCUUCCUCUAAUUCUCUAUUGAGGAAAACAGUAUUUACAUCCAUCUGAUGUAACUCAAGAUCCAUACUAACCAUUAUUGCCAGAAUAAUGCAAAUUAAGGUAAAUCUCACUACAGGAGAAAACGUAUCUUCAUAAUCAAUAUCUUCCUGUUGAUUAUACCCAUUCGCCAUAAGGUGAGCCUUAUGCCUUUCUAUCGAGCCAUCAGCCUUUCGCUUUAUUUUGAGAACCCACUUGUUCCCAAUAGCUCUGCGUCCCUUUUGGAAGAUCAACCAGUUCCCAGACUUGGUUUGACUUCAUUGACUCCAUCUCCUCUUUCAUUGCAUAAAUCCAUUUUUCCAUACUAGGGUAUUUAAGAGCCUCAUUAAUAUUUCUUUGCUCAUCCUCAUCUUGCGAGUAAUCAUAAAAGUUUCCCCUUCAAUGUCAAGACGUUGACGGGGAAUACUUUGGCAACUUUUUCGCCGUAUGGGAGAUUGUACACUUAGCACAUCAUUCCCAAUUAUGCUCCCACUUGGAUUAGGUAAUGAUGAUGUCGUCACAUCAAGUGGUUGUAAUUGAGAAUGAGUUGAAUUCAAUUCAUCACUUCUCAUAUUACUCCCACUUGGAUGAACUCCAUUAAUAUCAUUAUCUUGAUCCAAGGUUUCAAAUAGGAAGUAAUCUUCCCCUAUUUCGCCCUUCUUAGGAAAUUCAUCCACUAAGAAUGUGACAUCCCGUGAUUCAAAAUUCAGUUAUUCUCCCACUUUCCUGCUCACCUAUGAACACAUACCCUUUCGAGUGUUUGGAGUAUCUCAUUAAAAUACUCUACUUUUAUUUGGGACUCAAUUUCCCAAACUUGUGAGAGGACAUAUGAGUAUAGGCAGCAUAACCCCAUGGCUUAAGUAAACUUAAGUCCGGUUUCUACCUAUCCAUAAUUCAUAUGGAGUGGAACUAACUGAUUUGGAAGGCACCCGGUUAAGUAUUUAGGCAGCAGUUAACAACGCAUCACUCCAAAAAGUGAUAUGUAAGUUAGCAUACGCCAUCAUGGACCUAACCAUUUUCAGUACGGUUCUGUUUCUUCUCUCUGCAACACCAUUUUGUUGAGGAGUAUAUGGAAUAGACAACUAUAUUUCUAUUCCUUUUCAUCACAUUAUUUUCUGAACUCAUCAGAUAAAUAUUCUCAACCUCGAUCAGAUCUCAAUACUUUUAUUUUCUUGUCUAAUUGAUUUUCUACCAAGUUCAUAAACCCUUUGAAACAACUUAUGCUUCAGAUUUAUGAGAAAUCAAAUAGACACAUCCGAAUCGAGUAUAAUCAUCUAUUAAAAGUGAUGAAGUAAACAGUCACAUGCCUUCCUCUCACAUUCAUUGAACCACAAACGUCAUAAUGGAUUAAAUGCAGAGGAACGUCAGCUCUUUUACCUUUUCCAAAUGGUUUCCUUGUCGUUUUCCCUUCUAGGCAAUGCUUACAUAUGGACAAAUCGACUUAUUCAAUAUUGUCCAACAAGCCCUCUUUGGCUAGUCUAUUCAUAUGUUGUUGGCCAAUAUAACCAAGUCUAGCAUGCCACACAUUCACAUCAUUAUCACAUGAAGUAAAAGACGUGAAACAAGAGAAUAACAUAUUGACAUCACCACAGUCAACAUUUAGUACAAUAAAACCAUUCAGUAAGUGACCACAACCAUAGUAGUUUGUAUCUAAACACAAAUCUACACCUCUAUUAUGGAAGUUCAUAUAAAAACCAAGCUUGACCAACACCAAAACAGACACUUAAAUUUCGACGGAUCUCUAGAGCAUUUAGAACAUCAUGUAGGAACAAGUUGCGUCCAUCACACAUGUUCAGUUGGCAUGUGACAAUCCCUUUAACUUCAGCUCUGGAGUUGUUUCCAAUAUAGAUCCACUUAGUUCCAAUUGGUAUCGUCGGAAUUCCACGAAAGAUCCUUUAUCCUUCGCUACAUCGUCUGUUGCUCCUGAAUCUACAGUCCACAAAGGAUUGGAUUCAGCCAAUAAUUUAGAACUUGACACAUAAUCAAAGUUCUCAAACGUACAAGAGGUGUUUACAUUCUUUGGCUCACGACAGUCGCGAGCAUAGUGACCCUUCUUGUCACAGUUGUAACAUUUCACCCUUGACAUUUUCUUCACUUGAGGACGUUUUCCUCUCUUGUGUUGGUUAAUUCUUGAUCUCUUGCAAUAAGGACUUGAUCCUUUGCAUUCCCACAUAUUGAACAAAUCAAUACGCUUGCGCUUAGAGCUCAAAACCCUUUAUGAGCUAGAACCAGCAUUGCAAAUAUCUAUUCUCAGCUCACAUGCCGUUAAGCGGUCCUCUACCAGCUCAAGAUGGCGCACAGCACUCUCAAGAUCUUCCAUAACAUGGUCAAGAGCUUCUAGUGCUUCUUGCUUUUGCAUCACAUAUUGAAUCUUCAUAUUCAAUAUUUCACAAUUGUAGCUGUUCAUAUCAGCAAUUACAUUCUUAGUUGCUGAACCAUCGUUCUGAACACAUCAGACAUACAUGCACGAAUAAUUAAUGCCUAUCAUUUAUGUAUCCCUAUUUGCAUAGACCCAUCAUAUUAAUGAAUAAUUUCAAGUAAGGCUUCAUAAUCAAAAUGUCACUAUGUUUCUAAUCAUCCUCCAAAAAAUCCUAACUCAAAAUUAUUAUUAAUAUAAUUGUCUUAUGCAAAUGAAUUCUAUGAAGUUACAAAAAAUUCUAUUACUACCCACAUCUAAUUACCCACAGCAACCAGCAAUAGCAGAAAUCAAAUAAAAUCUUAACAUCCAAUAAAGUAACAAUGCUUUCACAUGAUACAACUAAUAUAUCGGUUGCUACAUCAAUAACAAUCAGGUAGUAAACAUUACAUAAUUAAUCAAAGAAAUAAAUAGGGAAUGUCCCUUCUAAUCUAUCAGCCAUAAUAUAUGAGAAAUUUGAAGGCACAUUUGCCAACCAUGGAAAAAUUUUUGGAGAGCUCUCAUGUCGCCACCAAGGCGCAUUCACUCUGCGUCAUGUGGCGCUCAAUCUAAGGGUUGAAGUUUUGGCCAACUCAAUCCUAUAGUAUUCUCUUACAAAAGCUUCCUCUAGCCCCCUGUAACCCGGGACCACGUUGACCUCCCAUAGCCGAUCUAACACUGCUUGCCAUUCAGGUGGAAGAGUGUUCAUCAAAGCCGGCACCUUCUCAAAAUCCGGCAUAAGAUAACCAUUCCAUAUGAUUUCCUGUAUCAUCUGAUUGACCUUGACCAUGUGUGAUACUAAAUCACCAUCAAACCACCGAUAAUCAGCUAACACUUUCAUCAACCUUUUCAGUCUAGCUCUUCCUUCGUCCGUUCUUGGGAUUGCAGGUAUCCUUGCAUAACGCAUCAUAGUUCCUGCAACAAAUGCAGAACUAAAAUGGAUCACUUAUAAUCCAUAAUAAACAAAAUGGAAAAUACAUAAAUUUCCAUGAUUCAUGCAACAAAUGCAGAAUAAAAAUGGAUUACCUACAACCCACACAGACAUAAUUGAAAAAAGAAACAAAUUCCUUUUUCUUUUUUUUUCGGUCAACGGUCAAAGUCAACAGUCAACGGUCGUCGGUCAACGGGUCAACGGUCGGUCAACGGUCAAUGGGUCAACGGCCAAGUCGUCGGACCGGUCGGACCGGUUGGGCCGGUUCGCGUGAACCACCCGUACGUGCCGCUCGCGUGCACGGGCUGACAUCACGCAGACGUCAGCCGGCACGUGCCGCACGCGUGCCGGGUCUCGCGUGGGUCGGGGGUCGGGUCUUCGGCCGGUGACCGUUCGGCGAAACGUCGUCGGCGAUGACGUCAUCGGUGACGUCAUCCAAGCGGUUACCGACCGUUGGAUGACGUCACGGCGACGUCAUCACGUGACGUCAGCACGCGUCGGUCCGUGGACCGGCGCGUGCCAUUUUGCCGGUCGCCGGCGCGCACGUGCCGGUUCGUCACCGGCGCGUGUGGCACACGUGCUGGCCUUAGCCAGCGCUUCGGGCGCGUGGUGCCCACACGCAGCUGCUUGUGGCCGCGCGUGUGGGCGCGUGUGGCGUCGUCCGGCGACGCACGACAUGUUGCCGAACUCGUCUCGACGUCGCCUUUCACCCAGUGCCUUCAGAAUUCAAUUUUAACUUACGAAAACUCAGAAAAAUGGCCGAACAGCGCUCGGGUGUCGGGAUUUUCGCCCCGAUCCGUACGGCCGAAGAUUUUUCGCGAUAAAUCAAUAAAAAAAAAACAUCAAAUUGAUCGGGAAAACGUGAACUAGAGCUCUGAUACCAAUGUUGGGAAUGACUAAUCCCCGAAAACUGGAUUCGACACUAAAUCGAACCCCUAAAUUCAAGCGGAAGCGAAGCCCGGGAAAAACAACACGUAUCACCGAUCCUAAAGCACACCAUGGAUUCGAGCGUACCUUUUAGCCACAGAUUAAACACUGACGCCGAUAGAGGAAGAGAAACUUGGUCCUGUUCGAUCCGGUGAAGCAAAGUCGCCUUGUAGCCUCACUGUUUGCUUUUUGGAGAAAACGACGGAGAGGAGGAGAGGAUGAGAGAAACGUAUGUCUUUUUCCUUUUGAACAAAACGGUACCUUUUUUCCUUUUUUUCCUCCCUUUUAUACCUCUUUCCUUCCACGGGCCUUAUUCCCGUGGGACGGGCUUUCUCGGCCCAACUUGGGCGGAUGGGCCAUAAGCCCAAAUCAAAUAAAGCCUUCAGUGGCCUUUUGCAUCAAAUCCCUGUUCUUUUCCCUAAAAGCAGAUAAAGAGUCUGAGAGGACUACAUACCUAUGAAAUCGAUCAUGAGACGUCCAUCUGAAAAACAACCGGUGGGAUGCCCAGAGAAGGUUUUGCCAUAAGGAAGCUUAGCCACAGCCAGAAAUGCGACCGCCCCAGUACUAAGGAAGUUCCCGGUGUCGCUUACAGAGUCGCCGAAAUUGAAAAUCGACUCGUACCUACGUGGGAGGGCCAUGUUGGUCUUCAAAGACAGACAACAAUGCAGAAGUAUCGAGAUUAUUAUAUUAUAUUUCACGGGAAUCUUGAGUAUUUUCGAGAGAAGAAGUCUUGGAGAUGCUAAGAGAGUUGGUAGACAAUUUAUGUGCUCUCUUGCUUGCUAAUAUCAAUUUUGUGAAAAUAUAGGGUUUGGAGGUGAGGUUGAAUUGCUGAAGGCGGUGUAAUCAGGAGUCACUGUGCCCUUUGCUUAUACAUUGGAGUGUCAGAUGGAAGCUCGACAUAUAAACAUGGUGACAUGAGAUUGUCGUCUUGUGGAUGUCUGGGUGUUCCUUGGCGACUCAUGUUGUUGAUUUUUGAUGAUCAUACAAUGAUGGCUUGAUGUCCCAAGACGACCACCCGUUGAAAACGUGUUAAAUGAUUAAGAGCCUCAUCUGUAUUUUUCCAUACCGCUACCGAGCUGAACGCGACAAUAUUUGAGUUAGCUCUUUCUACGAAAACGAUGAAGUCUCAGACAUUCUCUUACUUUCCAAACUAUUUUGUAUAGAGGAGGCGAUUUAGACUAUUUUUGUUGGUUUCUAAUCCAGUUAGGAUGUCACAUAGGUCAAAAUAAAUGGUUAAGACGAUAUGAUGUGAAAUAACAGGUCAGAUAGAAUAGAUUAAAAGGAUAUUCUAAGGCAUCAAGCAGUUCGAAAUGAAUAUAAUCCACACGAGCUAAUGGCAAUUAUUGUUAGCUGCUGAAAUAAUUGAUAAUAUUGAAGUACACUGUGCAAAAUGUCACAUGGUGUUGAACAGAUCGAUCUAACUAUGACUUGUUUUCUUGCGUAUUAUGCAUCGAUAAUCAAACGCAAAAUUAUUCUUUUUCUGGCUAUGGUCCAAACUGGUUUUGGUUCUUGGCUCCCACUUGGACAUUAAUUAUAUCCCUCGGCCUCAUUUUUAUCGUAAUUUGUGUGGCGCCACAAAAUUCCAAGACCCCCAUUCUUGGAAGUUUCUAAAAAUUAGCUUAGGUUUAAAUCCCACGGGCUUUACAUAUUCAAUUGGACUAAUACUCUAAUCCAAAACGAGUUAAGAGACAGAUGUAUAAAGUGACUACUCAAUGCCGUAUCAACUCUCCCAUGGACGUCUCUUAUCCCUAACGCUAAUAUGUGCACCUAAACAAAUUAGUAUCAUUAGAGAUAUAUGGUUAAUUAGAUACUUUGAAAACAUUUUGAUUAAUAAGUGCUAUCCAAAAUCGUUCAUAUUAAUAUGUCAACCCUUCAAAAACAUAAAUUCAAUAAGUAAAUUCAUCUCUUGAUUUGAGAGGAUCAGAUCAUAAAACCAGUUGUUGAGAAAAGUCGGAUAGUUAAUUAGUUGUGUGGCUCGCAAUAUCAACAAUAAUUUCAAGAUUUUGAUUCCAGCGGUAUUCAUGACUCAUCACAUGAAUGAUAAUCCAACAAGAAAAGUUUACAGGAUGGAAAUCUGAAACAAGAACACAUAGGUAGAACAACAAGAUGUCAAUCCACCGAACACAGUGACUCUUUAUGACUCGGUGACUAUGAGCAUACAUUCAUCUUUCACAUUAGAAUCGAUGCUCUAUUCAUCAUCCCCUUCGGACUUCUAGGCAACGAGACGUGGAGAAGUGAAGGGACCGUCGAGUAAGCCCUUGGCCAUGUGCCGAUACGCCGCCUCGGUCAAGUGAACUCCGUCCCAAAGUAUGGAGGCUGACGGAUCUUUACACACGCUUGACUUGGAACCACACAUCAUCCUGACGUUGAAAUUAAAUGGUCCACCAGCUCCACAGCAAGCUACAUGUGUUGAUUUAGAGAAACCUGAAAACGAGAGGACAUCGAUCUCACCACUUAACCUUAUAAGUUCAUUAAGACGCCGCAAGUAGGAUAAAUCUUCAAUCUAUAUACGUAGUUGAAGGUUCUAUAUGCCUAUUCACCAUUGAUCGUGAAAGUAAGAAGAAAGUAAACUCACCAUACUGUGUUGGUGAUUCAAAGAGACGCAUGAUAUCUUCAUAAUAAUCUGCAUAGAUAAUCCUUGCAUGGUUAUAUUUUUGUCUCAAAACCUGCAACUCUCGUUGGAGAUAAUCGUUGUGAUACUUGGCGAAUUCAUUAUAACGAUUGAGACAACCAGUUGUCGUAUUAGCGUUGUUCUUGAGAAAGGGUGGAGCUGUCGUUAUGUACAAUGUCAAGCAACCAAUUGGCAGAUUCCCUGGCACUACUAACUCCACCGCCCCGUGUUCGAUGAGCAUCUAAAACGAUCACAUGCCAUGAAAAAUUUAUCGGGGUGCUAAAAAAGGUUAACGACGCAAGAUCUUAUUGGAAAAAUAGUAUUGCGCUUUGUUCCUUGCAAGAAAAAGAAAAGGUCCAUACGCUGGUGGCAUUGGCGAUGGCUCCAACAACAUUUGGCACAAUGGGACGGAGCUGCUCAAAGGUUGCACCCAGGGCGAAAGCAAGAUUGUAGUCGUUUCCACCAAUUUCCCCCACUAGAAAUAAAGACUUCUUGAAAUAUGUAUCGCAAUCUACAAAAGAAAAGAACGAAAAUAAAAAUCAAAUCAUCAAAUGACUCUAGUAAUCGAUUUAAAAAUCCUAAUAAUGAUAUAUUCCAAUAUUGAAGUCACUCAACGAAAGACUUCUUUUAUUUUCCUUUGAUAUUGCAAGAGCACAAAAAUAGAAACCCGUCUAUCUAGAGACCUAUGAAAUGCCCUUCAAUCCCCAUAAAUUAAUAGACUAGGCCUAAGCAAUUGUGCCUCGGUUUCUAAGUUGCAAGUCUAAACAUCCCAAUCUAUUGCACCAAACCUGUAGUGGUCAUCCUACGAAAGAUUUAUGAGCUACAAAGACAUGAUAUCUACCAAAUCACCUCAGUAAAUAUCUUCAGUGUAUAUAAUCGAUCACAGAAAGGAGUAAUUGCUAUACAUGUUAGUCCUCAACCGGAGCCCACAAAAAUAGGGUUUAUAUUAUUUACCUUGCUGGGUUGUGCAAAGAGAAGAUUUAAGUUUCUUGAACCAGUCGAGCUGAACAUUUAAGGAAUGAUUCGUCAUUGUCAUCGCUGGAAUGCCUCGAGCUGCAAAGAAUGUCGGAUCAAGCGCUGUGGCACCAGCAACUGCAAAGUUAACUCCGCUACGAGCAUCAACUGAGCCGUUGACUACCUCAAGAUAUGGCUUCAAAUAGGGUAACCCAACUGCUUCCGCUGCAUUUUCAUAUAUGUAACGCAUAUACACCAGUUAAACAUCUAAAAUUAACUCCCCCAUUGAUGAUAAAGAUUGCUAAAGAUUGUCAUUAACUCUGCUUUAAAUAAGUUCUUUUUCUUGUCGUUUCGAAAGAAAAAUAUUAUUGUCGUCAGUGAAAUAUCAACACCAAACGUAGAAAAAUAGCCCUGUCUUUGAGCUUGGAUAUAUAAUACUGUAGAUCCAAAUAUUCUCAGCAAAAGCUGCGACCUUCUGAUUUAAAUGCCUGUUCUCUUCCCUAACACGAGCAUGCAUUUACAAAAAGCAAAGAAGUGUUAGGAGAACAUACCAAUGAAAUCAAUUAUAAGACGUCCAUCUGAAAAACGACCGGUCGGAUGCCCAAAGAAGGUCUUGCCAUAAGGAGACAUCGGCAGGAUUGCAUGAUCCCCCGCAGAUCGGAGGUAGUUCCCAGUGUCGCUUAGAGAGUCGCCAAAGUUGAAAAUCGACUCAUACUUAUGCAGGAUCGUCGAGUUGGCCUUCAAAGCAAGGCAACGUUGCAGAAGGAUCAAGAUUAUUGCUGUAUAUUUCAUGGCAAAUCUUGAGUAUUUUUGAGAGAUAAAGUCUUGAUGAUGCUAAGAGAGUUGGGCAACAAUUUUAUAUCCUCUCUUUGCUAAUUUUCAGUUGGUUAAAUUUGGGGUCUUCAAGGUGAGCUUAAAUAGCUGAAAUUGGUUCAAUCGGUUCAUUAAAUUCUUUGCUUAUAAUAGAAAGGGUGAGAUGGACGGGUAACCGACAGUAAGGGGGCAUGAGAACGUCAUUUUUUCGUCAUCGAGUCGUUUUGUCAUUACCUCUUACUCGUCAUUCUAUUGGGGCGACUAAGGUUGUUGAUUCUAGAACUUCUUUUCAGUCCCCCUUCGACUGGUGGGACGGCGUACGGAGCGACAUGGAAGAUAGAUGUAGUUAAUUCUAAGGUCGUGGAGAAUGUCUUUUUCCUCGUUUUGAACCUCCAACAAUUGAAACCUCCGAAAACAUAGGGACCGUUAGCAAGUGCCACAGCUUGCGGGCUUUAAGACUUAGCAAUGCCACGUCGAAGACUUCUCUCCUAUUUAGUCAGAUUUAUGAGAAAAGUCGAUAAUAAUUUUCCUUUUCACAAAUUUAACUUUGUAAAAGAUUAGCAAAAUGAUUAAUCAUAUUUGAAAUUUAAUGAACAUUUCUAAUGACACUGACAAUUUUCAUUUUAGUAAGAGAUUAUAUUUUUCUGCCUUCGUUUUCCUGUGUGCGUUAUUUAAUUUCCUCCAAAUUAUUUACUUUCGCAAAUUAUUUUUUCAGCUGCAUUGUUCCUGUACCCCUUAUGAGGAAUCUUCCAAAGAUGAGCCCAAGUUGGAACCCAUGAGGUUUAUAUUAUGCAGUCGAAUCCAUAUUGACGCAAUAACUUAAAUCAGAAUCAAGAGUCGAUUUUCUAUAUCUAGUAAACCUCCACCCAUAUUGCUACGUCGUAAAACCUGCCUUCAUUCAUAGUCUCUUCCACCAAAUCGUGAGGUGAUGAUAUUUUUUCCUAAGAAUCUGUAAUCAUGCGCGAAAUUUUCCAUAAUUCGAUCACAUUCAUUAAUCGGUGGCCACUAAUUGACCACAAGUGGUGAUUCUACUUGUUAGGAAAAUUCGUGAAAAGAGUCCAAAAAUUAUUCCAAUUUUGUUAGUUAUAAACCUUCUAAUUUUGCUAAUUAAGUACUAAACAUGUUUAUGUUUUGUCAAUUGAGUCUUUCCAAUCAAUUUGGCCAAAAUUCGUUGACAUAAACACCGACAAUUUUACAUGACAUAAUCGGCACUAACAUGAAAAAAAAAUUAAAAAUUAUUUCUUUUAUUUUAUUUUCUUUUUCCUUUAUUUCUUUCCUUCUCUUUUCCCUCUUUUCUUUUUAGGCCAACCUCACCAUGGCCCCGCGGCUGGUGAGGGCUUUGCUACCUCGUUUGUGGCUAGUGAGGCUGGCCUCGCUCAAACCAUUAUGACUACAAGGGAGGCCCCUUACCUAAAUCAAAUCAAGGCCAUGGCGAGGCUAGCCUCGCUUGCGGCCCACAAGGGGAUAGCGAGCUAGCCACUAUAAAAAAAUAAAAUAAAAGAAAAAAUAAAUCAAUGAAAUUUAAAAUAUUAUUAAAAAAUGUUCAUGUCAAAGCUAGCCAUGCCAUGAAGGAUGGCCGACAUUUGUGUUGGCAAUUUCUUACCAUAAAGACUCAAAUAGCAAAACGUGAAAAGUUUUGGAACUAAAUUGGCAAAUGUAAAAUAGGUUUAGAACUUUUUGGACAAUUUCCCCCCUUCCCCCCACACUAGGGCUCUGUCUCUCUCUCUAUCUCUCUAUGGAUCAAUGCUAUCAAGAAGAUCCUUCAGGUCUAUCAAAGGUUCAAUUUUGUGAGAAAUUUGAGUAUUUUGAAAUUCCAGUGAAUAGACUUUAUUAACAUCGAAAUUAGGAUUUGAAUGUAUAGCUUUCAAAAACUAUGAGGACUUGAUCACUAGAACAAAAUAUUUGACCUUCUAAUGUAAUUUUUCUUUUUAGAUUCACUUGAAUAACUUUAUUCGUUGGUAUUUCUGGUUUGUGAGAUAAGAUGAAGAAAUUCAAAAAAAAAAAAAAUUGUUGUCAACUAGUGGCUCCGAUAAGAGUAAGUUCUUGUCGAUUCCCACUUUGGUUGGAAUAACCAUUUAAAAAGUCCAAAAUCAAUUGCACUUUAGUCAAUUCAGUUUUAAAUAUUUCAAUUAUAUUAAUUGAUUCAUAAACAUUUUCACAUUUUGUCAAUUGAGUCAAUCUAGCCAAUUACGUAUGGAAAUCGCUAAGAUGGAUGUUGAUCGAUUUACAUGACAUAGCUAGUGCUGACAUGGACAUUUUUUGAAUAAUUUUUUGAUAAUUUUUUGGGUUUUUUUUCCUUUAUUUUGUUUACUUUUUUUUUUUUUUACAAAGGACCGAUGACCCUCACUCAACAUUAAGCAAUGGCAUCGAGGCCCUUGACAAAAAUAGGCAAGGGACCACCUCGCCUUGCCUAGGCUAGCCUUGCUAGUGGCCAACCAUCACAUGAGACUAGCCAUCAGCAAAAAGCAAAGAAAAAACAAAUUAAUGAAAAAGGGAAAAAAUUAAAAAUUAAAAAGUUGUCCACAUUAGCAUCAAUAUACCAUAUAGGGUAACUAGGGGUGUGCAUGGUCCGGGCGGGCAGUUCCCAACCUAGAACCGGGAACCGCCCGCUAAAGACCGGUUCUGAAAAAUUAGAACCGGGAUCCACCCGUUUGUUGCAUGGAUCCACCCGGAAACCGAACCGUCGGUCCGGUCCGGUUCCGGGUGGAUCCAUGGAACCGAUCUUGACAUGAAAUAAUUUUGAUUUUCAACAUAGAACGACUACGUGACAUCAAAGCAAGCCAAAAAAAAAGAAAAACUAAAUUUAAGUACGUGGAGAUGCGGAUGGCGAGAGAAGUAAACGCAGUGAAAUGGCAAUAGGAUUAGGAGCCGAAGACGAAGGGAGUGAGAUGAGAUUUAAGGUUUCUUUUAGUAAUUUUUUUUUUAAUAUUAAAAAGGUUCUGGUCCGGUGGCGGGCGGGUGGAUCCGCCCAUAGAACCGGGAACCAGACCGGUUCCCUCAAGAACCGCCGGUUCCAAGCGGUCCGGACGGUUCCCGGGUAUUUUGCACACCCCUAAGGGUAACUGACACUAACUAGAUUGCAUGUUAGCUUUUUUCCAAUCAAAAUCAAUUGGAUGGAUUUCAUUGGCAAAGAUGAAAAGGUGUGGGACAUAAUUGGUACAACUAAAAAGUUUAGAACUAAAUUAGUUAAAGUACAAUAAAUUUGAAAAAAUUUCGAUAAUUUUCUCCUCUUUUUUACAAUUGUGUUGUUCUACCUCUGAAUCCCUCAAAAAUCAAGAUAAGCUUUUUCUUAAUGCUACCGAUAUGGAAUGGUGAAUGAUCACUGACCUUAUCCAUGAAACCUCUUCUUUUGCCACUUCAUGUAUAUGGAACUCAUGGUCGUGUGAAUUGCAAAACGUUGAAAAUUCCAUUCGGUAAAUGAAAUGACAUGCCUUUUUCCAUCAGUCAUAUUAUAUGUAGCUCUAUCAAUGUUGACACUUGCUGAGCUGUAGUGGAUAUUUGGUCCCUAGUCUAGUCUCCUCCAUUCAUUCAUCCUUAUGUUAGGACUGACCACUCUGUUCUACUUGAAUCUGUACCCUUCAGCCUCCUUAUUUUCCAUAUAUUUUCAAACCCUUAUACAAUUUCCAGAUGAGAUUAAAAGCAAGGAAGCAAAAAAAUUCAAUUUAAUUGUCAAAAACGGAUUCCUAAUAAAAACGGAUACUUGAAUUAUCGAGUAACAUUAAAAUAUAAAUACAGAAACGUGCCUGAGAAUACUUGUAACUAUUGAUACCUAAAUUUUAACGACUUGUUUAAUCAUUUAUUAAUCGCAUAAAAAAUUAGAGAUUAAAUUUUAAACCUUAGCAAAAAUAAUUUCCAUUAAAUUGCAUGACAUAUUGACAUUAGGAGUAUUUGCAUUGGUAGUAAUAGAACCUUUUCAUUAAAAGAGAAAAAAAGAAAAUUAAUUAACAUAACCAUUACUUAAAAGAGGAAAAAAAAAAAAAGAGAGGAGAAAAUGAGACUAGGCUAGGGCCAAGCCGGCCCAACCUUCUUUCCUUUAUCCAAGCCGGCCCAACCUUCUUUCCUUUAUUCUUUCUUCUCCUCUUCUUCUCCCUGCUCCUUGCCUAGCUCUCUUCUUUUCUGGGCCCAACCCGCACGCCUCUUCUUCUUCCUCCCCUUAUGCCGCUCGCGCCUUCCGCAAAAAGGAGAGCAACGAAGGUACAAAGUCAGGGGAGUAGCAGGUCGCACCAUGAUCCCAGGGUCGAGGAUCAAGCCGACCGCUACAGGCUGGCGUUGGUAGAAGCCAUGGGCACUUUUCGCUGGCUAAGCUUAAAAGGAAGAAAGCAAAAGGUUUUCGGGGGUCUUCGGCGAGAGAGAGGAGGAGGGGUCCGGCCGCUUGGGAGAUCUUUGAGCAAGUGAGAGGGAGAGAACUAGAGAGUGAGGGAGCUCGAGAAGGUGGUCAACCAUCGUUGGAGUUCGUUCGUCGGCCACCUUUGUUGGCCGUUGUUAAGGGCCCAUGAGGGCCUACAAGCCCUCACUAGAUUAGGCGAGAAUCAGCCUCGCUUGGGGCCUACAAAGGUUCGAUGACCCUCGCUAGCUGCAGGCGAGGGCCAACUUCACAGAUGACUACGGGGGCAGUUUGUCCCAAGGUGAAGGUAGCUCAUCCAGACAAGAACGUCCCUUGCUAGCCACUAAGGAGGUCAACUUUGCCCAAAUCUAGCGAGGUGACCCUUGCAAGGGCUGGUCUCGUUUGCGACAACCUCCUUAGGGAAGCGGUCGCCUCACCAACAUUGAUGAGGGUGACUCUCUCCUAGCCCUUUUCGGCAUCGCCAACAGGUGGUCAGCCACCAAUGAAUAAGAAAGAAAAGCCAAAAAAAGAAAAACAAGGAAAAAAUUAAAAAAAUAUAAAUGAAUAAAAUGCCAUUGAUCAAUCAAAAAGUCAAGCCAUUUUUUGAAGUAGACAUACUUAGGUGUUCUUUUGAAAUAAGAUCCACUUCAAGCUUUCAUUUGAGAAAAUAAUAACACUUCAAGUCUUUAUUUGAAACAAAGUCUACUUCAUACAUUUGAAAUAAGUCUACUUUAGACUUUUAUUUGAGAAAAUGAAAACACUUCAAACCACUAUUUGAAAUUUUCCUCCAGUUCUAUAUAUAUGGUGUGUUUACUGAAAAUUGGCUUUUUGCUGCAAUUUUUGUCACAAUAUACCUUUAAUUUCAAAUAACUAUUUGACAAUAGAAAAAUUCCUCGAUCGAUAAGAAAUUUUAAAUACCAAAUAUCCUCCUUUCCAUUUUUUCAUAAAUUAACUGGGAGUGUAUGGAAAUAUCCUCGAUAAUUUCAAGUUUUAAGAUUAAUUAAAUCAUUGAGUUUGCGUCAUACCAUUCAUCUUCCAACAAAUACUUCCUAUUGGAAGUUCCACUUUUAUUUCUUGCAACUUAAAUUCUUUAAAAAUAUUUUUUUCUCAAUUUUCUGAGGCCUAUUAUUGGAAAAUUUGCCUAAUUUCAUUUUCAAUCAUUAAUAUAUCAUCAACAAAUAUCAUGAUAAAUGAAUUUCCUCUCCUUGAAGUAAAUAGGGAAUAAUUAUAAAAAAGAUCAACAGUUGUGAACAUCCAAGAAAUUAAAGGGGAGGAAGAAGAAGGAUAAGAAGAAGAAGAUCCGUUAGGUUUUCCAGUUCUUGCGUUUCGAGCAUUCAGUCACUCUCUGCUUCUUCUCUCUCUCUCUUUCUCUCUCCAACCCUCGAGCCAAGCUGCACUGCCGUAUUGCGGCCUCCGACCGCCACCGCCGCCAGGCCACCUUGGCGUUCAGUGACAGCACCGCCCCUCUCUCCGCCUCAUUCGAAACAUCCUCCCCGAAACCCUUAGGUCCCUCGCUUUGGUUCUCCGGGAUUGCUCGAAGAUGGAUGAGGAGCAGGAGACAGAGAGGUUCAAGAUGGACAAUGAUUACAACGACCGGCAGCGAAUCGACGGGGAAUUCUACUACCACCGGUGGAGGGAGAAGCUUGCCCAGACCAAGGACGACAUGCUCUACGGCGUCUUCGCGUCGGGGGACUCCGAUUUGGACUAUGAUGACUCCUCCAAGCUGAAGCGGAGGAAGAACAAGGACCUCCUAGGUAAGGCCAAUAUGUCGAAGCCCAUGAAUUUCGUGUCCACCGGCACGGUCACGCCGAACAGAGAGAUUGAUGAGAACUCGAAGACAGAGAAUGAGGAUGAAGAAUCCGCUGUCGUGGAUGAGGAUAGGCCGGGCUUGGGGGUCUUGAGAAGAACCAAUAAAGGAUUGUGACAUUCACUGAAGCAAAGUUGCGUCCUAGGGAUAUAGGUGUGGGUUUCAACGAUUUACGAGGAAACUCUUGCAAAGGCACUUGUUGCCUCGUUGGGGCCAGAGGAAAAGAAGCCAUCACCUGACGUGCCCGGUAAGGAGAAGAAGAUGCUGAAAAACAAAGCGAAGUAUAUUAUGGCAGAAGAACUGUUGACAAAGAAGUAGGAACAGGGCGUUGAAGUUGUGCAAAAGGUACUCAACAUGCGCGGACCUCAGGUUAGGGUGUUAGCAAACUUGGAGAAGCUAAAUGCGGAAGAGAAGGCGAGGGAGAGUGAUGUUCCUAUGCCUGAGCUCCAACACGAUACAAGGCUGAUUCUAGACUUGGCUAAGUUGGAUAUACAGAAGAUCGAUGGGGACCUGAGGAAUGAGAAGGAGACAGCUCUGAGCUUGCAAAAAAAAAAAAGGAGAAACUGCAAGCUGAGGCAGAACUCCAGAAGAAACAACUGAAUAACAUGAAGGAAAUAAUGAAUACGCUAGCCAAAUCUUUUGUUGACAUGCAAAGAAGGUUUCCUGGCGAUUAUACACAUUGUAACUUAUCUUGCAUUGCUUGCUCAUUUGCACUCCCUCUGUUUAUCACAGUAUUUCAGGGAUGGGAUCCUCUUUGCAAUCCCUCACACAGGUUGGAAGUUUUUGAUGGGAGAACAGUAACAAUUCGAACAAUAUCGAAUCAACGCAGCGGAAUAAAAUAAUCUCCCCUCUUGUGUAAACUUAAUAGGAAUCGAUAUAGUAGAGUAAAAUAAAUACAAAGCACGAGAACACAAGACAAUUUUUUACAUGGAAAACCUCCUCGAUGUGAGGAGAUAAAAAACCACGAGACCGGAGUCCACCCGAAAAUCUUCACUAUCAAUAAAAAAUUUCUUCUCUAGCAAAUACUAGAGGUACAUAGCAGCAAACACCUCAAGAACAUAAUUCUUGGCAAUAUGCAUGAACUUCACAAGAGAUCAAGGAUAAAUCUGACAAAAAACGCAGGUUUUAAUCAAUCCACAAAAAACCUUAUGUAUGGAGCUUCAAACGAAAAUCAAACCGUUCAAAUUCGAGAAAAUUGCGCCACGAACAUGUUGACAAAAUAUCAGCUCAAUCGGACCACGAAUUGACCUCCGAUGUCAGCUUGAUGUAAAUCAGAUAUUGCCAAAAACUACAGAUUUUCUGCUUUCUCUUUUUCUCUUGUUAAUGUUUCCUUUUUUGUGGCUACCUCUUUAUAUAGAUAGUGAGAAACCCUAUUUCCUCAUAUAACUUAUUAUAUUGGCUCAAACCCUUUUUGGGCUUACAAAUCAUUCGGCUUCCUCCACAUAUGAGUGAACCUAGCUAACAAAUCUCCCUCUCACGACAAUGUGGAGGGAUUCACCAUCCUUGUUAUCAAUUCGUAAUGUUCAAACUUUUCUCUUGGUAGAGUCUUCGUCAUCAUAUCAGAGCCAUUAUGAUACGUAUGAAUUUUCUCAAGUUCCAACAACUUUUCAUCUAAAACAUCCCUUAUCCAAUGAUAUCUAACAUCAAUAUGUUUCGAUCUAGAAUGAAAAGAUGAAUUCUUACCAAGAUGAAUUGUGCUUUGAUUAUCACAAAAUAGCAUAUACCUCUCUUGCUUGAACCCAAGUUCUUCUAAGAACUUCUUCAUCCAUAGCAUUUCUUUACUAGCUUCAGUCACUGCAAUAAAUUCAGCUUCGGUUGUAGAAAGUGCAAUACACUUCUACAAUCUUGACUUCCAUGACACAGCUCCACCAGCAAAAGAAAUCAAAUAACCAUAAGUAGAUUUACAAGUAUCUAUAUCUCCUGCCAAGUCGGAAUCUGUGUAUCCAACUAACUCAAGUUUCCCGGUCCCGAAACUGAGUGUCAAAUUUGAAGUUCCCCGAAGAUACCUCAUAAUCCACUUCACUGCAUUCUAGUGCUCUCUGCUUUGAUUUGACAAAUAGCGACUAACAACGCCAACUGCAUGCGCCAAGUCUGGGCGUGUACAUACCAUCGCAUACAUUAAGCUUCCUACAGCUGAAACAUAUGGAACACUUUCCAUAUCUUUCUUUUCUUUAUUAAUCAUAGAACUUUGCUUCAUAUUUAACUUAAAGUGAGCAGCAAGAAGAGUACUAACCACUUUAGCCUUGUCCAUGUAAAAUUUCUGAAGGAUCUUCUCGAUAUAUUUCUCUUGCGACAAAAAUAACUUCUUAGCAUCCCUAUCUUGGGUAAUUCUAAUGCCAAGAAUCUGCUUUGCAGAGCCCAAAUCUUUCAUAGCAAAAGACUUGUUCAACUGCUUCUUCAAUAACUCAAUUCUUGAAGCAUUUUUGCCAACAAUCAGCAUAUCAUCAACAUAAAGCAAGAGAAUAAUAAAGUCAUAAUCAGAAAUUUUUUGGACAAACACACAGUUAUCCGAAGAAGUCUUCUUAUAGCCCUGUUCUGUCAUAACUGACGCAAAUUUCUUAUAUCACUGCCUCGGUGCUUGUUUUAGGCCAUAGAGACUUUUCUUCAAUUUGCACACAUAAUCCUCUUUCCCUUUCACUUUGAAACCCUCAGGUUGUUCCAUGUAUAUCUCUUCCUUCAAGUCACCAUGUAGAAAGGCUAUUUUAACAUCCAUUUGCUCAAUUUCCAAAUCUAGGUUGGCUACCAAGCCUAGUACCACACGGAUAGAAGACAUUUUCACUACCGGAGAAAAUAUAUCAUCAAAAUCAAUACAUUUCUUUGACCGAAUCCCUUAACAACUAAUCUAGCUUUGUACCGUGGUUGUAAAGUAUGUUCAUCUUGCUUCAACCUAUAUACCCACUUGUUCUUCAAAGCUCUUUUACCUUUAGGUAACUUUACCAACUCAAAAAUAUGAUUAUCAUAAAGUGAUUGCAUCUCAUCUCACAUAGCAUCGAACCAAUUACUUUUGUACUCAUCUUUUAGUGCUUCUACAUAGCACUCUAGUUCACCUACAACAGUCAAUAAUACAUACUCAUCUUCAGAAUACCUAGUGGAAGGUCGUCAGUCUCUAAUGGAUCUCCGGACUGGAACAUCUAGUGGAACAUCUAAUUGAGUCUCUGGUUUAGGAAUAGUAUUAUCUAUUUCAACAUGUUCAGGAACAUGUGCGUUAUUUGGAACAUUGACUUCUUGCUGCUCUUCAUCAACCUGUGUAGGAAUAUUUGUAAGAGGAACUGGAUCUAAAUCAACCAAAUUAUCACUAACCUGUGGUGCUGAAAUUAUCUUUGCUUUCUCAAUAUCCUCUAUCGUUUGAUCUUCCAUAAACACAACGUCUCUGCUUCUUACAAUUUUCUCUUCAACCGGAUCAUAAAAUUUGUAGCCAAGCAUAUACUAUCCAUAACCAAUAAAUAUGCACUGUCGUGUUAUCACAUCAAGUUUAGACUUCCCAUAUUUGGGAAUAUGCACAAAUGUUUUGCACCCAAAGACACACAAAUAAUCAUAAGAAACAUCUUUGCAUAUCCAAACUUUGUUAGGAACAUCAAACUCUAGAGGAACGCAUGGAGUAAGAUUUAACACAUGCACAACUGUACUUAAAGCCUCACCCCAAAAGGAUCCAGGUAGCUUUGACUAUGAAAAUAAGCAUCUUACCCUUUCAACCAGUGUUCUGUUCAUUCUCUCAGCUAAGCCAUUUAAUUGAGGCGUCUUGGGAGGUGUCUUUUGAUGUCGAAUACCUUGUUGUCUGCAAUAUUCAUCAAAAGGUCCAAUAUACUCUCCCCCGUUAUCAGUUCUAAUGCAUUUCAAUUUCUUUCCAGUUUGUCUCUCAAUUGAAGCCUGAAAUUGCUUAAAAGCAUCUAACACUUAAUUUUUAGUUUUCAAGUAAUAAAUCCAAAUUUUCCUUGAAAAAUCAUCUAUGAAGGUAACAAAAUAAAGAGAGCCACCAAGUGAUUUUGUUUUCAUAGGACUGCAAACAUCAUAAUGCACUAAAUCUAGUAUACCUGACUUUCUUGAAGGAGGGGAGCUUUUAAAUGCAACUCUGUUUUGUUUUCCUGCUAAACAGUGAGCACACUUCUUUAGCGCUGAACUUUUCAAUCGUAAAGGAGCUUCUUCUUGGCCAAUAUUGACAAACCCUUCUCACUGAUGUGACUGAGCCUCUUAUGCAAUAAUUCAGCUGCAUCUUCGCUAUCUACUGCCUUAAUUUUGUCUAUGGACAACUUUGCCUGCAUAAUGUACAACGAAAAAUAUUUUUCACCUUUAGCCACAACAAGAGAACCUUUGGUGAAUUUCCAUUGACCAUUUCUGAAUGUGCUGCAAUACCCCUCAUCAUCCAACUUGCCUGUAGAAAUCAAAUUCAAGCGAAUAUUAGGUAUAUGUUUUACAUUAUUUAAUACUAACCUUGUGUCAUUGCUAGUUUCUAGGCACACAUCACCAAUGCCUAUAGCUUGAGCUAAUCCAUUGUUUCCCAUCUUCACAAAUCCAAAGUCACAUGACCUGUAUGAUGUAAAGAAAUCCCUACGAGACGUAGCAUGAACGGAUGUGCCACUAUCAAUUAUCCAACUGGUCUCAUGAGAUACAAAAUUCACCAUAUCACCAUAAAAAAUAGUAAGAAAGUCUUCUUUAAGUGCAGCGACACGAUUGUCAUCAUUGUCAUUAUCACUUUUCUUCUCUUUACCUUUCUCCUUUUGUUUUGCCCUUUUUAACUGGCGACAAAACCUCUGAAUAUGUCCCUUCUAAUGACAAUAAUGGCACUCAACAUUAGCAAAUUUAUUAUACUUACCUCUGCUUUUAUCUCGACUUUUAUCUCUAUUUCUCGGAUCUCGAGACUCACUUCUUCCCCUUUUCUCAACAACCAAGACAUCAUAAUGUGAAGGUGACGAUCCUUGUGUCUUUCUUCUCAUCUCUUCAUUCAAAAUACUACUCUUGGCCAAAUCCAUGGUAAUCGUACCAUCUAGGGUAGAAUUAGACAAAGAUGUUCAGAAUGACUCCCAGGAGUCCGGCAAAGUACCAAGCAACCAUAGUGCUUGUAUCUCAUCAUCAAACUUGAUUCCCAUCAUAGCCAACUGAUUUAUAAUUCCUUGAAAAGAAUUUAAAUGAUCGGUCAAACGAAUACCAUCAUGAUAUCUCAGAGUCAUUAUCUGUUUUUAUAAAAAAUAACUUAUUAUUCCAAAUCUUUCGAGUAUAUAACUGUUCGAGCUUAUCCCUAAACUGCGUGCAUGUGUUUCCUCAAUAAUAUGGUUCAAAACAUUAUCAUCUACCACCACCCGCGAGGGUGGCUCCAUUGGUAGGCUCCAGGACCUCCAAGCUGGAGGCCGGAGUUCGAAGCCCCUGCAAUGCAAGUUGCAGGGAGACAGGUGGAGACACUUGGCGACUUACCCGGGGUGUGUGGGUGGUGGUUUCCUACGUGCCUCCCUAGGGGUUUACUCCCUGCUGUCAAUUGUGCGGGGUUCCCCUGGGUCACAAAAAAAAAAAAAACAUUAUCAUCUACCCAUUGCCUGAUAUAACCACGAUGAAAUAUAGACCAUUAAACAUAAGUUUUAUUCUUUGAUUUAUCAUCGGCAAAUACCAACAAAUAAAAAUCUUUCACAUAUAACAGAUUUUCCAUCUUCCCUUUCCAAAUAUGAUAAUUCGAACCAUUCAGUGUAACAAUUCUACUCGUAUUAGUUUCCAUGGUUUAACACAAGGCAUAAAAAUCAAGCAAUAACCUGAUGCUCCGAUACCACUAUGAUGGGAGAACGGUAACAAUUCGAACAAUAUCGAAUCAAUGCAGCGGAAGAAAAUAAUCUCCCAUCUUUUGUAAACCUAAUAGGAAUCGAUAUAGUAGAGUAAAAUAAAUACCAAGUAUGCGAACACAAGACGAUUUUUUACGUGGAAAACCUCCUCGAUGUGAGGAGAUAAAAAACCACGGGAUCGGAGUCCACCUGAAAAUCUUCACUAUCAACGGAGUCCACCCGAAAAUCUUCACUAUCAAUAAAAUUAUUCUUCUUUAGCAAAUACUAGAGGUACAUAGCAGCAAACACCUCAAGAACAUAAUUAUUGGCAAUACACAUGAACUUCACAGGUUUUGAUCAAUCCACGAAAAACUUGAUGUAGGGAGCUUCAAACAAUAAUCAAACCGUUCAGAUUCGAGAAAAUUGUGUGACGAACAUCCUGACAAAAUUUCAGCUCAAUCGGACCACGAAUUGACGUUCGAUGCCAGUUUACUGUAAAUCAGAUAUUGUCCAAAACCCCAGAUUUUCUGCUUUCUCUUUUUCUCUUGUUAUUGUUUCCUUUUUUGCGCCUACCUUUUUAUAUAGAUAGUGAUAAACCAUAUUUCCUCAUAUAACUUAUCAUAUGAGCUCAAGUCUUUUUUGGGCUUGCAAAUCAUUGGACUUCCUCCACAUAUGAGUGAACCCAGCUAACAGUUUUGAGGUGAAAAUCUCUAUUGCAAGGAUAGGAAUGUCUUGAUAUAUGGGAUUUGGGAUCCCCUUGUACCCAAUUGGUUUCAGAAGUUGUCUCGCCUGUUGUGAGAAUAUCAAGCAUUGACACUUUACUAGCCCACUGCUACACCCCACCUCAAAAGUGAAUUAAUACAAUCUCAAGCAAAAGUUAUUAAUGGUCCAAUGUAGAAAUAGUAAAUUGACCCAACUCAUUUUUUCUAAGAUCAUAAUAUACAGUAUUUUGUCAAGUCAUUAUGUUGCCCAUACCUUUGCAAAUACAAAAAUUUUCCUUAAAUAAAAAAGUUAAAAACUUGUAAACAAUCUAAGUUAUUAAUUUUUUUUUCCUGGUUCGCCAUCUAAUUUUGAUGAUGCUUCGAACUUUAUUAAUUAGAAAACAUCUUUGUGGCUUGUAAGAAAUCAUAUCUACCCAAAAUGUGAGUGCCAAGAACCUAACAGCCGCUGGGAGGGCCAUGACGGCUCCGGUAGAUAAAGAGCUCAAUAAUCCGGCAACUAAGCUGUGCACAUGGAACAAAGAAAGCACAAUCACGGUAGUCUAACUUUGUUAGGUUGUACACCCACUUGAUGUUCUGAACCGAUGAUGCCAAAUUGCAUUGAGUUAGCAGCAUGCAAUUGGGGCGACCCGUAGCGUCAGAGGUGUGCAUGAACAGAGCUACAUCCGAGGGAUCAUUGACAACUUUUGACGUUGAGCCGAGGCUCGGCUCUACGUCGGACAAAGAGAGAGAUUUUCGAAUCGGUGGAGUGAAGCUUGGCAGUUAGGUGGUGAAUGUUAAGCUUGGAAGCAGCAGAUUGAGCCCAUCGGUUUCCUUCUUGUGGUGUCAAUAAAAGCUUCGGUUCCGAGUCGAAAAGGUAGAACUCAAAACUCCUUAGCUGUGUAGAUGGCGUUGGGUGGAGCUGCAGUGGCUGCGCAACGGAUUACCGCCAGAAACAGGAUCACAAACUGCAAAACGAACACAUUUUCCAAUCAGCAAACCAUCACACUAGUCCCUGCGGAUUGGAGACACAUACAUAUGCAGAAUAUGCAGACAACUAGUCUGUCAACGUUCGAUUUCAUCAAAACCAUCCAUCUCCUUCUGAUAAGCUUUGACUUCGUUUUACGAUGAAUCGAUACUUGUACAUCCCGAAAAACGACCUUUGGACGCUACAGAAAACGCUCUACAUGCCCUUCCCAAGUCAAUUUGUUCCUAUUCAAUGGCACCAUGCGUGCACAGAAAUUUCUUGCCUCAAGAUUCUUUUUUCCUAUCUCGAGCUAUUUCCCAGUCGAUCUUUCAUAAGCAAUCGAUCUCAUCAUUAGAAAUUCAUCGUUACCGCUAUCUUCCAGAUAUUGCACUCUCGAAUUUAAACAGCAUCAUCAGGAAAUUUUCUACAUUUGAAUUCGCAUCAUUGCAAAAAUGGAAAACCUGCACCAUCGUACUUACGAGAAGACUCGAUGAUUGGGGCGACAUACAUUACCUGUGUUGGGGAAAGCGAGUGCAAUGACGUCGUGCAGCCGCACGUGCGUCAGGUUGAACUCCCCAUAGGCGGACACGGCUCUCCCGUCGGAGAAAUCCAACGCCGCCUUCUUCAACAGGUUCGUGAGCAUAAGUUCCCCCAUCGCUAAUCACGAAUUGAUGGGAAUCGUCUCCACCCGAAACCGAUCCCCAAUCGAACUGAAGAGGGGCACCACAACCGCUUGGCGAGAGGGAGAGCGAAGGAUCGACGAGAACAGGAAUUUGCACAAAUGAGAAUGGGGGAAACUGGAGCGUUCGACGACGGAGGAGGAGGAGGAGGUGGGUGGAGGGUUGCGUAUGCAUAUGGGAUGGAGACGAGACGAGAGGGAGGGAGCGAAGUUGGUACAAUCGAGGUGGCUCCGCAAAAAUAUCUCUCCCUCGUCUUCUUCUCCAUCUUGCUCUCCGAACCCCUGUCUCUCUCCCCACUCCAUAACCCACCUACCACUCCACCAAGUCCCACCCUGCACCUAUCCUCCCCUCCACCGAGUCCACCACCAACGCCCAUCCUCCCUCCCAUUCACAGUCUCCAAACCUUCUUCUCUCUGCCUCUUCCCUAAGUCCCAUCGCCACCUCCGAGAGGAGCAACGGUGGUCACGCGAGGAGCAGCAGCAGGCUUGCGAGAGGAAGUCCCUCCUUGUCGAGAUCGCCAGGCUGAAGCUUCGGAUUCAGGCCCUACGGCAUGGGAUUCAGAUUCCGGAAGGCGAUCUGGGGGAGGUGGCGAACGUGGUUGCACUGUUGCAGGUUUCGCAGGAAAGGAAUUUAAUCCCGGAGAGAGGGUUGAGCGCGAGUCUGAUGCUAUUGGAGGAGAGAGAGAAGGAAACUGCAGAGAAGAGAGAACCGUUAUUUUUAUUUUUCAAACCGAAAAUGCAUUAAAUUUCAUUUCAAUUCGGUUCUCACACCUCUACUAUAAACAGGUCCCCCAUCAUUGGUAAAUGAUUUUGAAAACAUUUGCAAGAAAGAACUAGAAUUUAGCUUUCCAUGUAGGAACAAUGGGGAUUGCCAUUGGACCACUCAAGAACACAAGCUAGUAUUGCUGGAAGCCCACAUGGGAAAGAACAGUAUGGGAAUGAGUCUCUACAAGGGAACCGGCAUGUCAAUUUGUACAACAGCUGAACUCUUUAGGGUCAAAGUUACGUGCACGAUCUCAGCCAUCGAAUAAAAGAAAAUUGAUGUCAACGAUUGGAUUUGGCAUGAUCAUUUUGUUCUGCCAAACCCCACUAUCCCAUAACUCACGCCAAAAAUAAUAAGUUAUGCCAUAUCAAUAUUUCACUAAUAGUGUGUAAGCUAUAGUUUUUCUACUAGGAAAAAGUGAAGAAAUCAGGGAACUUGAAAGUCGAGACAAUAGCAUACCUUGUUAGACUAGAAGAACAUGAAUCAAAUGAAAUUCAAAUUAAACUAUUCUUAAAAUAUAACCACCGUUGCAUUCUUCCACCAUUUUUAUUUAUUUAUUUAUUUUUAUUUAUUUUUAUUUUUUUGUUAGUGAAAACAAAAUUGAAGAAUUUAUCCAGAAACAAAUGCCUCCUAGUUUGAGAUAAUAACGAAAACCACAGCAUCAGAAAGGAUCAUCACCAAAGGAUUAAAAGCCAGUCCAAAGUUCGGGGCAAUGACGAUUCUUUCACAGAUUGUAUAAAUGCAAGGAUCAAUGGAGAUUCUGCCGCUCCAUUCUUUGCAUACACACAUGCAGAUCUCGCGUUCCUUCACAACAGAAUACACAUUCAAGACUCGAUUCUAUUCAUAUAGAACACUAUAACUUGAACCAGAGAGAUCAGCAAGCCAUGAGACAGCAAUUUUCAAGUCAUACGUCAACGAGCAUACAAGACGAGAAUCAUAACACCAUUUGACAUAUAAGCAUCCUAUUCCGACAAAGUCAGCCAUAACAAGGGUUCGAUAAGUUGAGAACAAAUCGAAUUUAUGUAAUAUAAUUUUGCAGUUCCAAGAUUAAAUUGAAUAUACAUACUGAUCUAGUUCGAGCAUUUCAUCAAAAAAGUAAUAUGCAUUUUGAUCAAGGAGCUCACACGCAAAUGUACAGCAACGGUUGACUUUCAGAUCAUCACGAAAAUAACUGUACAAGUUCGAGUUGCUAAUAGAGCUUCAAUCUCAACUGAUUUACUCACAGACAUUAGCUAAAUCUAACAGGCUCUGUUUCGUUCAUAAGCGGCAGAAACAGUGCUUGGAAUUUACCUUGAUGACAUUUAAGUUUUUUACCUCGGACGGUGAUCAAAUCAUUGACAAAGCUCCUGGUGGUGUCGAUGCCGAUGAUCGGGGCCGGCGAAAGCGGAACGACCAAGGUUCGUGAACUUGCGAGCGUCCUGACCAAAGAACAGAGCAGAACGAGAGUUGGCCUUGCUACAACAAAACCAGCAAUGGCGGAGCGGCUACAAGGGUGGCUAAUGGUGUCUGAAGGACGACGGAGAAGGAAAGCCGAUCAAGAAGCCUCAAGAAUCCCCGAGAAAGAGAGUUUCUUCGUCAGGUUCAGCGUAUGCGUUCUGUUGUGAUAUCGCUGUUGG
rnacentral:lncRNA from 1 species